CAGUAGCCGCGGUAAUACGAAGGGGGCUAGCGUUGCUCGGAAUGACUGGGCGUAAAGGGCGCGUAGGCAGAUUGCGCAGUCAGAUGUGAAAUUCCUGGGCUUAACCUGGGGGCUGCAUUUGAGACGCGUAGUCUAGAGUGUGAAAGAGGGUCGUGGAAUUCCCAGUGUAGAGGUGAAAUUCGUAGAUAUUGGGAAGAACACCGGUGGCGAAGGCGGCGACCUGGUUCAUAACUGACGCUGAGGCGCGAGAGCGUGGGGAGCAAACAGGAUUAGAUACCCCCGUAGUCCCUGUCUCUUAUAC
rnacentral:rRNA from 1 species